UAGGAGUGGUAAGUACUCACUUACAAUGAGGACGACCCGUAAGGGCACUCUUAG
rnacentral:tRNA from 1 species